UGCUACACUCAGCCACAGACGCUGAACAGCUGAACAACUGAGCCUAUUAAUUUUCUGCAACAAACUGAGUAAACUUGAAGAAUGAAGGGUCUUGUUAUUGUCGCUUUUCUCGUGGUUUCUGUAGCAGCCGUGGUAACAGCCAUGCCUCACACAGAUGAAAAACAGGAUAACAGGCUUCAGAAUGUUCGCGUUCAAGAGUUGCUCAGUGCGAUUCAAGCUGCCCAAACUAUUGAUAUGCCUGUUCAUGACGACGAAGUGGGAUGUGUUUGUGUGAAACGCAAGGGGUCAGAUAGCUCAUUCUGCGUUGGAUCUGACUGUCCCAAAAAGGAAGAGAUCUCUGCAAUAUCAUCGUCAGAUAUUCCAUAUAAUUAUGUUCGACUGGGAAACCGAGUUGUGGUACUGGAAAUGAUUUAACACCUGAGAUUUAACAAGCUAUAUAGAGCUGAUAAACUGUUUGUACAUAUAAUUAUAUUAUAUUAUAGCGAAUAGCUUUUCAAAGAACCUUGUAGAUCGCAUUUAUGUUAUCAUUCUAUUGUUGCAAAAUUUGAAAUGAAUGUGUUAUGAACCUUG